rnacentral:rRNA from 1 species
UUUUCUCUUAGUAAGACSUUGUGAUCCAUUAGGAACAGGACUUGCGUGCAUGCGCUCGUCAUUGGGCUACCAAUAGGCUGGUAUUGAAGUUCACCCAGGCAAACGACACGAUCUUUUGGUUGUGUGCAUUGUCGGGUGAGCGUACCGUGUUCUGAUGUAGCUGCCUGAUGGGUUUUAUAGGCCAUAUCACUGAUGCUUGCAUCACCCUGCUUACGCUGGGUUAGAGGAUAUGUGCCCGAUCAACAACGGAUUCAUUUGGGAUACCUUUGGGACCCGUCUUGAAACACGGACCAAGGAGUCUAUCUAGUAUGCGAGUAAAUGGGAUUAACGAACUAAACCUAUUUGCGUAAAGAACUUGACUGUUUUUUGAUGGGAUUACGUGCACAUUACUAAUUCAGGUGUGCACCUCCAUCCCGGGGUAUUUUCAUCACAUAUGUGGGCAACUGCAUAUAGAAAAUAUACCAUGAGCAUACUGGACAUGACCCGAAAGAUGGUGAACUAUGCCUGAUCAGGUUGAAGUCAGGGGAAACCCUGAUGGAGGACCGAAGCAAUUCUGACGUGCAAAUCG